rnacentral:rRNA from 1 species
GAUGAACGCUGGCGGCGUGCCUAAUACAUGCAAGUCGAGCGAACAGACGAGGAGCUUGCUCCUCUGACGUUAGCGGCGGACGGGUGAGUAACACGUGGAUAACCUACCUAUAAGACUGGGAUAACUUCGGGAAACCGGAGCUAAUACCGGAUAAUAUAUUGAACCGCAUGGUUCAAUAGUGAAAGACGGUUUUGCUGUCACUUAUAGAUGGAUCCGCGCCGCAUUAGCUAGUUGGUAAGGUAACGGCUUACCAAGGCAACGAUGCGUAGCCGACCUGAGAGGGUGAUCGGCCACACUGGAACUGAGACACGGUCCAGACUCCUACGGGAGGCAGCAGUAGGGAAUCUUCCGCAAUGGGCGAAAGCCUGACGGAGCAACGCCGCGUGAGUGAUGAAGUUCUUCGGAUCGUAAAACUCUGUUAUUAGGGAAGAACAAAUGUGUAAGUAACUAUGCACGUCUUGACGGUACCUAAUCAGAAAGCCACGGCUAACUACG